UCCUACGGGGGGCAGCAGUGAGGAAUAUUGGUCAAUGGUCGGGAGACUGAACCAGCCAAGCCGCGUGAGGGAUGAAGGUACAGAGUAUCGUAAACCUCUUUUGUCAGGGAACAAAGGCGGGGACGUGUCCCCGGAUGAGUGUACCUGAAGAAGAAGCAUCGGCUAACUCCGUGCCAGCAGCCGCGGUAAUACGGAGGAUGCGAGCGUUAUCCGGAUUUAUUGGGUUUAAAGGGUGCGCAGGCGGUCUGUUAAGUCAGCGGUCAAAGCCCGGGGCUCAACCCCGGCCCGCCGUUGAAACUGGCAGU
rnacentral:rRNA from 1 species